UGGUGUUGAUUGACUCUGUCUUAAAAGGCCUCUCUAUUAAAGAAAAAGAUGAAAGUGAUGAAAAUUUAUUAAACAGUUCCUCUGACAGCAACAAAGACUAGGAUAAAGAAAGAAGUAAAGAAAGUGUUAUUGAAGAAAAGCCUGAAGUGAAAGAACCAGAGCUUCAAACAAAAAGAGAAAUGGAAGAAAGAAUAGUAACUAUAGAAAUCCCUGAAGUUCUGAGGCAGCAGGAGGAUGAUUGUUAUUACUAACAGGAUGAAAUGUUAGUUAAACUUUCAUGCCAGAUCAACACCAUAAUGAUUUUGGAAUCCUAUGUCAAACAUUUUGCUAUGAAUGCAGCCUUUUCAGCCAAUGAGACGCCUAGUCACCAUCACGCUAUGCCACAUGCCAACACGAACGUGCAUUAUAUCCCAGAAGAAAAGAAUGUGACCUUUAUAAAGAUGGUGGAUGGAUUAAGAAUAACAUUUGAGGCUGGGCGCGGUGGCUCAACUCAGCAUAAAAAGACGCCACUGAACUCCAGCCUCAGCAGCAGAGUGAGACUUGGUCUCAAAAAAAAAAAGGUGACCUCAUCUAAAUUUUUUCUCCCAAUUAAGGAAAGUGCCACAAACACUAAUAGGAGGCAGAAGGAAGUCUCUCUCAGCCUGCCUCUGUUGAAUCCAUCCCUGUGACAGUCCACAGAGAGUCGGCCAACCACUGGUGAACUAACAAAGGUGCAAAGCUGAGUUGGAAGCAUUGCAGUCUCUGAGGCUGUCCAUGUGCCACACCGCCAACUGUGACAGACUUUCUGAGAGCAGCACCUCACCUCAGCCCAAGCGCUGGCAGCAGGACAUAUCCGCCAGCAUGACCAAGCUGCUCCUGCACCUGGAAAAGAAGACACCUGUGCUUGGCAGAUCAUCUUCACCUAUUCCUCUGACUCCUAGCAAGGAAGGGAGUACAGUGUUCGCUGGCUCUGAAGGGAGAAAAACUAAUGAAAUGAAUGAGGUCCUCUCCUGGAAGGCUGUGCCUGACAAUUACCCACCAGGUGACCAGCUGUCUCCAUCCUCUUACAUUUACAGGCCAUAACAUUUGCUGCAAUUGUUUAUAAAACUUCCAGAAAUCCUUGGAAAGAUGUCCUUUUCUGAGAAAAAUCUGAAGACUUUUUUGAAGCACUCUGAUGUCUAUUUGAGGUUUUCAGCAGAAUACCAUGAUGACUUUUUCCCAGAGUCAGCUUAUGUUGCUGCCUGUGAGGUGUGUUACCGCACCAAGAAUCCCUGGGCAAUUUCUUAAAGUGUUGGUGGUUCUGUAAGAACAACUGCUCUGUCUAGCUUGGCGCUCUGGGUUCCAGACAAACAACUGUCAAGGUGGUGGGUCUUUACCCAGAGCACAAACACAAUGCCCACUUGGUGGCUCUGACAGAGGUGGGCCCUAUUGUUUGAGUUGCCCACAUAAUGUAGUUAUUCUGUUAAGGAUUAUUUCCUGGGUGCCUGAAAGUGCUCUGACACACACUUGCUACUGUGCAGGCCAUGUGUGAUGGCAGGAGAAAAGCAACUAUGCUCACAGUGAAAUGUUCACAGAAGAGUACAUAGGUUAGGCCAUUUCAAUAGACAUUGCAGUUAAUUAGCAAGAACCACAUUGUUUUGUUAUUUGUUACCAUCAAACAGAAUUUUUUUUGCAAAUUGGUUUCAUUCUUUUGAUGAAGCUGAGCAACUCUGUCCAACAAUGUUUAGUUUGUACUUGGAAACCACAAAAUAGUUCCAAAGUGUUUUAGAGGGAGUCAAUAUUGAUGGCAAAAGAAAAUUUGCAGCUAUAAAUUUGCUUCUAACAAUUUCCUCUCUGCAAAACAUUAUUUUUGGUGAUCGAAAGAAAGCACUGCCUUUCUUGUUUGAGAUUUUACAGCUAUACUUUGCUAUGUAAUGUUAUGGUUCCCUUUCUGUAAAGUGUUAUUUUUGGUGAUCUAUAUAAAGCCUUUCUUUUUU